UCCAUUGCAGCUAGACAUUUCAUAAAUAGAUAAUUCUCUAAUUGAUCCAGCCAAUCCUACUUUGCAUACCCUGCCAAACUAGCACAGGCUCUUUACUGCAGUCCUGAUUUCUGUAUUAAUGAAUUGAGAAGAUGACAUCAGGCUCUUAGGCAUCCACAUUUGGAAGCAAUGACCUGUGUAGGAAACAAUUUCUGUGGUGAAACUGGAAACCAGGAUCGGACUUAAUAACUAUUCAUCAAGCAGGUUUUUAAUUGAAGAAGGAAUUUGUCCCCAGAAAGCAAACCCAUUUUACAACAUUUUACAGUGAAGGUGACGUGUGUAAGGCAAAAAGCAAGACUGACGCGCUGCGGUGCAAGAGCAAAAAGCUGUUUUUAAAAUUCUGGAAUCAGUGCUUCAAACAAGAUGGCAUUCUUGCUCAACUUUUGGUCCCCUUCUAUGAGAUGAUGAACUAGGGAUAUGCUGACAAAGUGUCUGGAGAUCUUUGGGAACAAAGCUGAAGAAAAUGGAGAAAUAUUAUUCAAUUAUGUGUAUUUUUUUCAGAUUUUUUAAAAAAUUAUUUUCAAUACCUCUUCUAGUGAAGAUUUAACAGAGUUGAUGAUGGUUCCACACAUCUUUUUGUGAGAAGACUUGUAGUUCAUAGCAAGAAAAAAAAAAAUAUUGAGGAAAACAUAACUGCUUUUGAAGAUGGUGAAUGGUGUGGAUAUGAGGAGCAGCUGAGCUCACUUGGUUUGUUCAGUCUGGAGGAGACUGAGGGGUUCCACAGAACAGAAAACACAUGGACAAGCACUGAUCUGCUCUCUCCAGUGACCAGUGGCAGGACCUGAGGAAAGGACACAAAACUGCCAGAGGAGGUUUAGGUUGGAUAUUAAGAAAAUGUUCUUCUCCCAGAGGGUGGUUGGCACUGGAACAGUCACUCCAGAGAAGUGGUCACAGCACCAAGCCUGACAGAGUUCAAGUAGUGUUUGGACAACACUCUCAGAUACAUGGUGGGAUUUUUAGAAUUGUCCUGUGCAGGGCCAGGAGUUGGACUCUGUGAUCCUUUUGGGUCCUUUCCAGAUAUUUUAUCAUUCUGUGAUUCACUGCAGUGCAAUAUAACUGCAGCAACAUCUAAACUAACUCAGACAAUCACACAUACCUCCCUCAGAGCUCAGUCUUCACUGGAGCCAUGCCUCCCAAUUAACAACUAUCACCUGCUCUGAUUACCCGAUAUUCUGAAUUAAAGAGGCUGACUUUCAAAUCCUGUGUUAUUAUCAGAUUCUUUCUGUGUUGAAAUGACUGUUUGGACAGGUUUCACAAAUCAAAGCAUUGUGUAGCACUAGGUACAUUUCUAUACAUUCCAAGCAAGCAGAGGGUAGCUCUUGAGCUUCAUGAAAUGGAGUGAAACUGUCUUACUGAAACAGAAUAUGAGAUUUUGACUCCUUAGCUGUCAUGAGAGUCAAACACAAUGAAUCACUGGGGGAAUAGGUGGAGAAUUUGGAGCAAAUAGGUUAUUUGAAGAAUGUAUAAAUAGAGCUUUAUGCAGUGAAUGUUCUCUGAAGAGCUAGGAGGUCCUCUUCCCUUCAGAUUUUCCCUGCUAUUAGGAGCACAAAGGACCUUUUUCAGGGGGAGAACAUAGCAAUUUCAUUUUUGAGGAAUAAACACUGAGCACAAUCAGCGCUUGAGAAUGAGGCUGAAUGUUCCAAACUAUGCCAGUGCCCUCACAGAACACUACUCUACACAUAGAGCCCUGAGAUCUACAUGAAUAUGUAACUUGAUAGCAUCAGGUAUCUAUGCAGGUAUAUGCAGGAAUGUAUAGAUAUUCUGCAAAGAACUGCUUCUCUGCUUAGGGCCUGCACUGAAAUUUCUUUUUACCUGUGAAUGAAUUAAGCACAAGACUGAUCAUGCAAUGUAGACUACAAACUCAAUGUUCAAAGCCAAGAUGAAGAGUGCAAGAACAAGUUGAAAUAUUCGCUGAAGCAUUUUUGUCAGCCAAACCCUGUAAUAUACUUAAGACUUACACCCCAAGGGAAUAAUUAUUGCACACUUAAGAUCAUCACAGAAAGAGAAAAGAACAUUUCUGUAUUAAAGUCAUUCCAUUGCUGUAUAAUUUUCUAACCAAACUGACAUCCAAAAACUUUCAAGAUAACCAUGUCUCUAAAUGGCUUCUCUUCUGAAAUUUUCAUUUGCGUCUAACCUGUGGUGCCAAGAAGAAAAGGAGAACACAGCUGUCAUUUGAAGGUUCACACCCCUUAUCAUUAACUACAUUGACACCUGUGGCUAGCUUGGCUGUUUCCCCACUAAUCCAUGAGAAAACUAAACUUGGCCAACCUUCCGCUCAGCGUGGUUUGUUCCCUCUACCUUUUCCAUGCUGGCUUAAAAUUCCUGACUGAUGUGCAAAUAAUUUGGAGAAGCCUGGGUUCCUCACAAAUCUGCAUGGGAGUAAAGAAAAGGGGCAAGGAGGGAAUGGCAAGUCAGCCACAAAUACUGUUGUCUAUGGCUAUAGAGCCACAGAGCAGGUGGCUUAUGCUGUGGAUGCCUUUGUGUUUCCUCAUGCAGAUGAUUUGGUAGCACAUGACUAAACCUUGAGUGCAGAUACAUGACUUCAGAGACAUUUCCUCAGUUUAUGGGGUGAGGGAAAAAAGCAGAAAUUAUAUUUCAGAACAUAUUAGAUAUUUCUGAAAUACUUGAUGGUACAUAUACUGUGUGUUUAGUACAUGCAUUACACCUCAAAGUAUUCAUGCAUGUAUAUUUACUUUUAUAAUUUAUAGACCAGUUACAACACCAAGCUCUCUUCCAGAUGUCAAGAAUAAAAUUAUAUUUCACAGCUACUUUUACAACUGAUAGUAAAUCUAGCAGAUGGUAUGAGUACUGUGAAAGUUAUCUGACCUUGAGCAAGAAGAAAACCCCACUGGAAAACUUCUAUCUCAGAAAUUAUCAAGGUGUGCCUGAAAAUGGUUGCUUAUUUACAGCCAGACACUUUGGUUCUGCACUAUGUUCCUUUUUAAAAUGGAAGCUUAACUCAAAAAUCUCAAAGCCAAAAAUAUUUUCUUUCCAAACCAAUUGACCGAGGUGUGGGGCUGGCAGUUUUUGGGAAAUUUCAUGGUAGUUCUCCAAGAAAUGUACACAUCAGCAUUAAACAGCCACAUCUUAAUAAAAGACAAACAUUAGGAGGAACACCAAUGUUGUAUUAUGGAGCUUACAUUAUACCAUAUGCCUGUGUUGCCCAAAAAUGUUCCACAUGGCUCUUUCACUUGUGAAAAUGACACUUCAAUGAGCCAGGAGGCUCUGGCAGUAAAAAAGAAACCAGUUAAGAGUACCAGAGGCCAACUGUUAGGACUAAAAUUAGGAGAAACCACAAAAAAAAUCUAUGGUGUUUAGCCCACACUAUACAAAGGGUUUUUCCAAGGCUAUAUGAUGGUGCCAAUGAAUGAUUGCAAAUAUUAAAGAGACAUGGAUAUAGUGAAAAUGGUUUUGGAAACUUUUCAUUCUGUUCCAGCUCAUGGCUGAGGGAUUUUCUGAGCAGAAGGCAGUAGGUACACCACUAUGGUUAACAGAUUUCAAGGUCAUUCAUUUCAAGAAUUUCAACCAUUAAUUGAACAAGAGAAUACUUCUUGUGGUCUUUUAAAUUUCCACUUGAUUUCUUCAAUUCUUGUCAUACAAUUAAUGGUCAUCAAUUGCUUUGUAUUAUCUUUACCAUGCCACCCUCUUCCUCUGCAGCUACUCUUCUCUGGCCUGCUUCCAAUAUAUGAAAUUGUUCCAUACCUAUGGUCACCAUCAUCAGCAUUUAUGUAAUUAUUCUUGUCCUAUUUUAACCUUUUUGGGGCAGGGAUGCACACAGUCUGGAUAAAAUAAUUACAGAUUUAUACAGUGGCAUAAAGAUAGUGUUUUCUGAAGGUCAUGAAAAAGGACAAAACACUCCUCUGUGGAGCAAAACAACUAUUUCCACAGAUAGAAAUACUCAUGAAAAUGAGUAUGAGUAUCUCUCCUUCCAAAAUAUCAGUAAGUAGAAAACCUUAUUACAAAAAGAGUAUACAUCUGCUAAAAGAAAAAAACCCUGAGAUCAAAAGCAAUAUACUGUCCUACAGUGAAAGCAUAGGAAAAGCUGUGAUAUAAACCCUCAAAUAUUCCUAAGAUCUCACAACUUCACAUUCAUUUCUCAAAAUUUCCAUAAGAGUAACACAGACUCUGAUGCCAAACAUUUACAUUCAUCUUCCAUCAAAUUCAAUAGCUUAGGUUUAGCUGUAAAUUCAUUAGAGUUUCAAGCAUUCAAUUUCUGGAAAAUAUUUGGCCAGUUCUAGAACUUAACCCUGAAAACAGUAAAGUGAGCAAAUGAGUCACUUUAAAGGAGGUUUUCAAGCAUCUAAUGGCAACCAUGUGGGCCUCUGUACUAAUGUCAAUGUAUCCUUUCUAUAAUCCACUGUUCAGCUCAACCCUGAAAUGGUGAUGUAAGCUGAAACCCUGUAAUGCUCUCAUUCAGUGCAUUAGAGAAAAUCUUCAAUAAACUGAGCUUUCCAAAAUAUCAAGGGAACAAUGUAUUCUUCCUAGAAAUAAAAUAUUAUAUUUUUUCAUCCUAUAAUUAAGUGAAAUAAGUAUGGUGCAAAACAACUGAGUCCAAAGAUACCUUCCUGUCAUUUCAGUGACUUCCCAGUCCACCAGAGCUUUAUUGUUGUGUUUAUUGUGAUGUCACAGGAUUCUCUGGAUGUGCGACCUUACUGGUGUAUACUGCCCAUGGCUACCUGAGCUGCUCUCUUCCUUUCUCUUUAUGCCCAAUGUAAGACUAACUUCCAAAAAUAAAAUGAAAUAUUUUGAUUUAUGGCAAAAAGGUUAGUUAGAAGAGUCAGAUAUUAAAUUGUUCAGUGGAAUCUUUAUCCUUUGAUUAUGCAGUUGGCUGAGCAUAAGCAUUUUGAUUCACUUAUUCCAAUUUAACUCUCCAUUGCAGCUGACCCAAAAGCUGACUUUUUCUAUGCUUUGUAUCCCUAGGAAAACAAAAAUUUCAGUGAUACUUGUUAAAAAUUGCAUAAUAUAUGUUUCAAGCUUUUGGUUUAGCAAAAAAUGAAAACUAGAACAAAAGUCAUGCAAAUAUAUAAAGGCUUGAUAUAUUCUCUUUCUGAAAACCAGUGAUACAUUUUUUUUACUGCCACUUUAAAGGAAUUUGAUCAUUUCUGUAAUAUAGCAGACAUGCACUAUUCUGAAACUUUGUAUUUAGCUAAAUAACAUUGCUUGAAAAGUAGUUACAUUGUAAUAUUAGACCUGAAUCCUUGCUCUUUAGAAAAAUGUCUUAAUUGCCCUAUUUCUGUAUUUUUUUCUUUUGUUUUAAAGUUAUGCCUUCUGUUUUUCUUUAUAAGCAGUUACUAUUAUAUACUGUCGAGUAAACAAAAAGAAACAUGGCAUA